GGUGUUCCUAGCUGGGAAGCAUAAAUCCCACGGGAAGUCAGCUAAAGAACAUUUAUGCAUCACUCAUCCUAUUAUGAGCCCUGGGCUCUUCCAUCUCUCUACAAGG
ensembl:misc_RNA